rnacentral:rRNA from 1 species
GACGAACGCUGGCGGCGUGCUUAACACAUGCAAGUCGAACGAAGUGGCGCACGGUUGAGUAAUACGUGGGUCACCUGCGCUCCUUUUUGGGAUAAGCCUUGGAAACGGAGUCUAAAACCGAUCAAAGGGGGAUGGGCUCGAGGCCUAUCAGCUUGUUGGGGGGGUGAUGGCCUACCAGGGCGGUGCCGGGUAGCCGGCCUGAGCGGGUGACUGGCCACAUUGGGACUGAGUAACGGCCCAGAAUCCUACGGGAGGCAGCAGUGGGGAAACUUCCGCAAUGGACGGAAGCCUGACGGAGCAACGCCGCGGGGGUGAUGACGGCCUUCGGGUUGUAAAGCUCUGUUAAUCGGGACACGGUACCGGAAGAGAAAGCCACGGCUAACUACGUGCCAGCCGCCGCGGUAAUUC